AGCUCCAUCCACUACACCACCUAGCUGUCCCUCAGAGAACUCCUGAUGAAACAUGCUACCACAUCCUGACAGAAGGGACAGACUCAGAGGGAAGAAUGAGACAAUUUAUUCGAUCACAGGUCAACGUGGUAAUUUGUUUUACUUGAACAUAUACAUUUGUAACAGGGGUUGUUUUUUCUUUUUUUUCUCACAGAAAUGGGAUGUGGGUCAGGGAACUGGAGUUGAGAAAAGGUGGAUGUUUGUUGACUGAAAAACAAAAUUUAAUUAUAAAAAGGCAAAAGGGAAGAUUUUUCACCUAACAACAUAACUCAGUCUCGGGGCAAAUAUAUUUAUACAGUGGUAUGGAGGAAGAAGAAUAGAUGCAGAAAACUUUCCAGGAAGUUAUGGCAAUAUUUCAAGAGGAUGAGAAAGAGGCUAGAACUAGGAUACUGGCCACAUGAGCAAAGACAAGAGGUGGAAUGAGGAGGAAUGUCAUUGUAAGGGAAACUGAGGAGAGAUCCUCCCCAGCCCCUGGUGUAACUGCCUCAUUACCUGACACAAAGAAUGUAAAUUGGAGUCAGCCUACAUGGCCGAGGGUACCAUGGAAAUGGAACAUUAAACACCUAACAAAUUAUGUUACCUGGGAAAACAAUCCUUAUCUCAGGGAACAUUUUUCUCAAAAAGAAUGUGUAUCUGUCCAGAGACCUGAUCACUCCCUGGAAACUUACACAACAAACAGGUAGUCGGAGCUCUCAUCAAGCUCCAACCUUUGUUAGAAUGUGUGUGUACCCUGGAUCUGAGUAAUCACCAGGGAGAUGUACACAAAACAAGGUGUGAAGAUUGUUUGUCCCUGGUUUACACAGCUAUAAAAAAGGGUCAUUUCAAAGGAAGAUUUUGGAGUACUUUGAUGCAGAGAUAGGGAUGCCGACUCUCUGCCAGAGGCGGAUCCCAUGCAGUCUCCAUUGCCUCCCAGACCAGACCCAUUGGGCCAUGUCCAGUCUCCCCAGUUCUAUGGGUAUUUGAGCUCACCUGAUCCAAACCUAAAUUGAAUCUGCGCAGUAGGUAAUCCUUUCGAUUACAGUCUAUGAGACUGUGAGUUCCCAGGACAGGAAGAAUCAUUUUGUGCACCCUUAUAGUCUCACGUGACGGUUGUGAGGUUUGUGAUUACUACAGAAAUGGGAGAAGGUAAGCUCCUCGAAGGCAAGGACUGCUGACCUGGAAGAAACUGACUGAUCCUACGACUUGGGUUCAUGCCUCA